rnacentral:misc_RNA from 1 species
UUCAUUCGAUUUUUACGUUCAGACUCACGGCAGAUUCACGCGUCUAGGCGGCGCCGGAGCGCCGAAGCACGGGUCGCUUCCACUGGUUUGAGCGUCGAGGGCGCGUGGCGCCGUUCGAUAAUGAUCCCUCCGCAGGUUCACCUACGGAGA